GACGAACGCUGGCGGCGCGCCUAACACAUGCAAGUCGAACGAGCGAGAGAGAGCUUGCUUUCUCAAGCGAGUGGCGAACGGGUGAGUAACGCGUGAGGAACCUGCCUCAAAGAGGGGGACAACAGUUGGAAACGACUGCUAAUACCGCAUAAGCCCACGGCUCGGCAUCGAGCAGAGGGAAAAGGAGCAAUCCGCUUUGAGAUGGCCUCGCGUCCGAUUAGCUAGUUGGUGAGGUAACGGCCCACCAAGGCGACGAUCGGUAGCCGGACUGAGAGGUUGAACGGCCACAUUGGGACUGAGACACGGCCCAGACUCCUACGGGAGGCAGCAGUGGGGAAUAUUGCACAAUGGGGGAAACCCUGAUGCAGCGACGCCGCGUGGAGGAAGAAGGUCUUCGGAUUGUAAACUCCUGUUGUUGAGGAAGAUAAUGACGGUACUCAACAAGGAAGUGACGGCUAACUACGUGCCAGCAGCCGCGGUAAAACGUAGGUCACAAGCGUUGUCCGGAAUUACUGGGUGUAAAGGGAGCGCAGGCGGGAAGACAAGUUGGAAGUGAAAUCCAUGGGCUCAACCCAUGAACUGCUUUCAAAACUGUUUUUCUUGAGUAGUGCAGAGGUAGGCGGAAUUCCCGGUGUAGCGGUGGAAUGCGUAGAUAUCGGGAGGAACACCAGUGGCGAAGGC
rnacentral:rRNA from 1 species